UCCCUGCUGGUCCAGUGGUUAAGACUCUGCACUUCCAAUGCAGGAGUCCCAGGUUCAAUCCCUGGGCGGGGAA